GCCUAGGAAUCUGCCUGGUAGUGGGGGAUAACGUUCGGAAACGGACGCUAAUACUGCAUACGUCCUACGGGAGAAAGCAGGGGACCUUCGGGCCUUGCGCUAUCAGAUGAGCCUAGGUCGGAUUAUCUAGUUGGUGGGGUAAUGGCUCAUCAAGGCGACGAUCCGUAACUGGUCUGAGAGGAUGAUCAGUCACACUGGAACUGAGACACGGUCCAGACUCCUACGGGAGGCAGCAGUGGGGAAUAUUGGACAAUGGGCGAAAGCCUGAUCCAGCCCUGCCGCGUGUGUGAAGAAGGUCUUCGGAUUGUAAAGCACUUUAAGUUGGGAGGAAGGGUUGUAGAUUAAUACUCUGCAAUUUUGACGUUACCGACAGAAUAAUCACCGGCUAACUCUGU
rnacentral:rRNA from 1 species